ensembl:lincRNA
CAGGCAGACCGGAUGCUGAAAGUAGAUUACAAGGGGGUUAAUACUGGGUUCGGGCUGCUGAGGUGGGGCUGCCAGUGAGCAGGCACCCACUGACAGGAGCCUGGCCUUUUGCUACCAGUAAGAAGGAGACAUCUAAGCUGCAGCAAGCAGCAGCAGCAGCAGCAGCAAGCAGCAGCAGCAGCAGCAGCAGCAGCAGCAGCAGCAGCAGCAGCAGCAGCAAGGGAAGUAAGCUUGAACCAAAACAGGAGCCAGGUGGAACCGGAGAUGUCAUCGCUGGUGAAGGAAGACUUGGAGAAAAAACUGUUUAAGCCGCUGGCGCAGAAUCUCUGCGAGUUUAUUGAGAUCGAGGUCUCUGUCCAGGACAGGUAUUUCCUCUGUGUGUCAGUGACCAAAACUGAUGAAGUAAAAAUCACCAUGGUGAAGCACUACAGAGUAGGGCUGGAUGAGAAGUAUGAAGUAACAAAAAGGUGGUCCUUGAGUGAUCUGCGGAUGAUUGACGGAAAAGAAGCAGAUACCGACAAUCCAUUUUUUGAUCUGCACUUCAAGAAAGUCUACAGCUUGGAGGCCUACAGCUGUGCCUCUAAGUACUCCUUUGCUCGAACGGUGAGCAGGCUGAACCACGUGUAUCUUAAGAAGGACUUACACAUGGUCAACUUUGAUUCUACUUACAUUAACGAUGACUCCAUUUGGUCCUCCAACAACAAGGACUGCCUGGUCCUCAUGAGAAUAUGCUUUUACGCUUUCAAUCUUGUGUGCUUGUCCUUGUGUCCCCUGCCACUUUGAAGAUGUAACCCAAAGCCCUUCAUCCGCAUCUGAAGAAAAUGGCU